rnacentral:rRNA from 2 species
GCAUAUCAAUAAGCGGAGGAAAAGAAACUAACAAGGAUUCCCCUAGUAACGGCGAGCGAAGCGGGAAGAGCUCAAAUUUGAAAGCUGGCGUCUUCGGCGUCCGCGUUGUAAUCUCGAGACGUGUUUUCCGUGCGGCUCUAUGGACAAGUCCCUUGGAACAGGGCAUCGUAGAGGGUGAAAAUCCCGUACUUGCCAUGGAAGUACCGUGCUUUGUGAUACACGCUCCAAGAGUCGAGUAGUUUGGGAUUGCUGCUCAAAGUGGGUGGUAGACUCCAUCUAAAGCUAAAUAUCGGGGAGAGACCGAUAGCGAACAAGUACCGUGAGGGAAAGAUGAAAAGCACUUUGGAAAGAGAGUUAAAAGUACGUGAAAUUGUCGAAAGGGAAGCACUUGAAGUCAGCCAUGCUGCUUGAGACUCAGCCUGGCUUUUGCUUGGUGUAUUUCUCGGUAGCAAGCCAGCAUUGGUUUGUGUCGUCGGAGAAGCGUAUGGGGAAUGUGGCAUCCUCGGAUGUGUUAUAGCCCUGUGCAGGAUACGACGACGUAGACCAAGGAACGCAGUGUGCCCUCUGGGCGGGUCUUCGGACACCUUCACACUUAGGAUGCUGGCGUAAUGGCUUUAAGUGGCCCGUCUUGAAACACGGACC